AGGGAAUCUUCGGCAAUGGACGAAAGUCUGACCGAGCAACGCCGCGUGAGUGAAGAAGGUUUUCGGAUCGUAAAACUCUGUUGUUAGAGAAGAACAAGGAUGAGAGUAAAAAGUUCAUCCCUUGACGGUAUCUAACCAGAAAGCCACGGCUAACUACGUGCCAGCAGCCGCGGUAAUACGUAGGUGGCAAGCGUUGUCCGGAUUUAUUGGGCGUAAAGCGAGCGCAGGCGGUUUCUUGAGUCUGAUGUGAAAGCCCCCGGCUCAACCGGGGAGGGUCAUUGGAAACUGGGAAACUUGAGUGCAGAAGAGGAGAGUGGAAUUCCAUGUGUAGCGGUGAAAUGCGUAGAUAUAUGGAGGAACACCAGUGGCGAAGGCGGCUCUCUGGUCUGUAACUGACGCUGAGGCUCGAAAGCGUGGGGAGCAGAC
rnacentral:rRNA from 1 species